AUGAGAACAAUGGGAUGGUGCUAACCCAUUCAUGAGAACUCCACGCCCAUGAUCUAAUCAUCUCCCACCAGGCACCACCUCCAACACUGGUGAUUACAGUUCGAUAUGAGAUUUGGUGGGGACAGAGAUCCAAACCAUAUCAAAAAGAAAAGAAAGUGAGAGCCAGACAGUCAGCCCUGCUCCUCACCCCACCACAACCCUGGCAGGUGGUUAUGCUGAACAUUCUCGUGGGCUCACAGUGAAGUGUGUUCAUGAACUUGCAUACAAAUAGAUUUGGAAGCAAAGCAUCGUGAUGUCCUAGCCAAGACCAGACACUGAAGCAGGAGAGGACAUUCCCUUGGAUGUAGGGAGAAGUGAGUGUAUUGAGACACUCUGGAGAUAACCUGGAUCAAUCACUUCAUUUUAGAGAUAAGGACCUGAAAGGAAAAGGAAACCUGCCCCAGGUCGCACAGCUGGUUCCCACCAAGUCUCCCGACUCCUGCUCCUCUCCUGAAACAUGAGCCUUUACACGCAGCUUCCAGAAGGGAGGGUAUCAUUCUUGGCAAGGCUCGAAACUAAAGCAGUUGGUAUCUAUAGCCAAGGUAUGCCUGGUCGUAUCUGGGCAGCUGACUGACUUCUGGACUCAGCCCCCUCCCCAACUACUUAACUGCACAUCUGUGUAUUAAAAAAAAGUACCAUAUUUAUCAUCAU